UUUGGUUUUUGGGCUACAUUAAAGCCCCCGAAAAUAAUAAUUAUUUUCGGUCCAAUGGGCCAACGCCUCUGAUCAUUUUUGAGUUGCAAUUUUUAGAAUCACGGUUGUGGGCGUUUAUUACGAUCAAUGUACGACCUAUUAGACUUUGAAUGAGAAAAGAAGGCUCCUCUGGUAUCUCAACUAUUGAUAGUUUAAAUGCAUAUAUUUCCUUAGAUUGGACGAUUACCCUUUAAAGUACAAAUUUAACAAUUUUGUCGAGCGUACAGUUUCGUAUAGCAGGAGCUCCUCCAGUUUUAAGGCUGAGGCCGAAUCGUCUUUGUUCAGAGUUUUUAUAUCAUUAAGCAUUUUUCUCAUAUAUCUCUAUUUUUCUCUGACUUUUUGAAUUAAGAUCCUGCCUUGCCUGAAAUUCAGUGUGUCUCAGAGUAUUUCAUGGAGACAAAACUCCUCUUUCCAUUCUUAGACCGUAGUCUUGGAUAUAUCUUAUCGUGUAGUUCCAGGUUGAAGGGGGCCGUUUAACUGAUGGUAAAACUGGGUAGUGAUAUGAGAUGUACGGUGGAUUCGUUUAAGAGACCGUAUUCUUGGAUAUAUCCUUAUGGUAUAGUUCCAGAAAGAUUUCCAGGUUGAAGGGGGCCGUUUAACUGAUGGUAAAACUUGGCAGUGAUAUGAGAUGUAUGGUGGAUUCGUUGAAAAAGUAUGAAACUCGGUCUGAAGCGA
rnacentral:lncRNA from 1 species